AGCAGCGUGGCUUAAUGGGUAGAGCGCGGGCCUGGACGUCAGAAGGACCUGGGUUCCAAUCCUGGCUCUGCCA
rnacentral:tRNA from 1 species